GAAUUCCAAUAGAACACGUUAUCUCCCAAACAGAUUAAGUAGUGUAAGAAUGGGGAGUACUCCAGACUCAAGUGUGGUUUUUAUAAAGAAACAAGAUGGAAGCAGUGGAGCUGAGAGGCACCUCUGGUUUUCAUGUAGCUAACAGGAGUGACAUGACCAGGCUGCCUGGCAGAGGUCAUGACUUCAGGCUAAGUGUCAAAAGCUGAAGAACUCCAAGGAAAAGCAAACCAUUCACUGGCUGGAACCUCUGAGAAGCCAUCAGAAAAAGUUUAACAAGAGAGACUAAGAAAUUCAUGGAUGACAUUAGAAAUCAGAAAUAAAUCUGGAAGGAAAAAAAAAGUGUUAUGCAAGCCAAUCCCAUAAAUAUUAGGACUUCAUAGAAUCAUGAAAAGUCCCCAUAACUAAAACUGGUCCCCUCUCUGUAGUAAUUUAAACUCAAUUAUUUAUUUUGGCUUCUGUCCUCAAUGACUUGUUCUAAUCGAAAUGCUUUGAUGAGAUGUACAAAAGGAAUAAAAAUAUGAUU